ACCGCGACAGCUCAGCUAGUAAAGCAUCUGCUCAGUAUGCAGAGGGUCGCCAGUUCAAUUCCAGCUCGCGGUG
rnacentral:tRNA from 1 species